rnacentral:rRNA from 1 species
AAACCGCGAAUGGCUCAUUAAAUCAGUCGAGGUUUACUAGAUGAAAAGUAUCCUACUUGGAUAACUGUGGCAAUUCUAGAGCUAAUACAUGCAACCAAGCUCCGACCCUCGUGGAAAGAGCGCUUUUAUUAGUUCAAAACCAAUCGUCGUACCCUUCGCGGGGUGCGGCGUCCCGAUUGGUGACUCUGGAUAACUUUGUGCUGAUCGCAUGGCCUUUGCGCCGGCGACGCAUCUUUCAAAUGUCUGCCCUAUCAAAUGUCGAUGGUACGUGAUAUGCCUACCAUGUUUGUAACGGGUAACGGGGAAUCAGGGUUCGAUUCCGGAGAGGGASCAUGAGAAACGGCUACCACWUCCAAGGAAGGCA